AUCAGCUACCGCGCGGCGUACGGCUCAGUAAAACAUGCUCAAACUGCCCUUAGGUCCGGGAUAACCUCUGGAAACGGAGGAUAAUCCCGGAUAGGCAAGGAGUCUUGGAAUAGCUCCUUGCCUAAAGGUGAAGAGCCGACUGCUCUUCAUCGCCUAAGGAUGUGAGCAUGGCCUAUCAGGUAGAUGGUGGGGUAACGGCCCACCAUGCCUAAGACGGGUACGGGCCGUGAAAGCGGGAGCCCGGAGAUGGGUUCUGAGACAAGAACCCAGGCCCUAUGGGGCGCAGCAGGCGCGAAACUUCUGCAAUGCGCGAAUGCGCGACAGAGUCACCCUGAGUGCUACCCGCUGAGGGUAGCUUUUGCCCUGUGUAAAAAGCAGGGCGAAUAAGCGGGGGGCAAGAUCUGGUGUCAGCCGCCGCGGUAAUACCAGCCCCGCGAGUGGUCAGGACGAUUAUUGAGCCUAAAGCGUCCGUAGCCGGCCUUACAAGUCCUCCCUUAAAUGACACGGCUCAACCGUGUCGCUGGGGAGGAUACUGUAAGGCUAGGGAGCGGGAGAGGCGGAUGGUACUCGAGGGGUAGUGGCAAAAUACGAUAAUCCCUCGAGGACCACCAGUGGCGGAGGCGAUCCGCUAGAACGCGUCCGA
rnacentral:rRNA from 1 species